rnacentral:rRNA from 1 species
CCUACGGGAGGCAGCAGUCGAGAAUCAUUCACAAUGGGGGAAACCCUGAUGGUGCGACGCCGCGUGGGGGAAUGAAGGUCUUCGGAUUGUAAACCCCUGUCAUGUGGGAGCAAAUUAAAAAGAUAGUACCACAAGAGGAAGAGACGGCUAACUCUGUGCCAGCAGCCGCGGUAAUACAGAGGUCUCAAGCGUUGUUCGGAAUCACUGGGCGUAAAGCGUGCGUAGGCUGUUUCGUAGGUCGUGUGUGAAAGGUGCGGGCUCAACCCGCGGACGGCACAUGAUACUGCGAGACUAGAGUAAUGGAGGGGGAACCGGAAUGCUCGGUGUAGCAGUGAAAGGCGUAGAUAUCGAGAGGAACACUCGUGGCGAAGGCGGGUUCCUGGACAUUAACUGACGCUGAGGCACGAAGGCCAGGGGAGCGAAAGGGAUUAGAUACCCCUGUAGUC